rnacentral:rRNA from 1 species
ACAAGCGGUGGAUGAUGUGGUUUAAUUCGAUGCAACGCGAAAAACCUUACCCACCUUUGACAUGUACGGAAGUUACCAGAGAUGGUUUCGUGCUCGAAAGAGAACCGUAACACAGGUGCUGCAUGGCUGUCGUCAGCUCGUGUCGUGAGAUGUUGGGUUAAGUCCCGCAACGAGCGCAACCCUUGUCAUUAGUUGCUACAUUUAGUUGGGCACUCUAAUGAGACUGCCGGUGAUAAACCGGAGGAAGGUGGGGAUGACGUCAAGUCCUCAUGGCCCUUAUAGGUGGGGCUACACACGUCAUACAAUGGCUGGUACAGAGGGUUGCCAACCCGCGAGGGGGAGCUAAUCCCAUAAAGCCAGUCGUAGUCCGGAUCGCAGUCUGCAACUCGACUGCGUGAAGUCGGAAUCGCUAGUAAUCGCGGAUCAGAAUGUCGCGGUGAAUACGUUCCCGGGUCUUGUACACACCGCCCGUCACACCACGGGAGCGGGUUCUGCCAGAAGUAGGUAGCCUAACCGUAAGGAGGGCGCUUACCACGGCAGGGUUCGUGACUGGGGUGAAGUCGUAACAAGGUAGCCGUAUCGGAAGGUGCGGCUGGAUCACCUCCUU